CAGUUCUUUGCGAAGUUUGAAUUUGGAACCGCCGCGCCGCGUUGUGUAUCGGCUGGUGCUAGUGAUGGGGCUCUCUGAGGGCACUAUGUCCGUUGUCUCUGGAGGAGCUGUCGCCUUCGUGCGGCGAAGGAAGCUGCGCUUCGGAGCCUGUGGAAGAAGAUCUAUGAAUUGCGUCAGAAAAAUGGACUAUUUAAGCAGCAUAGAAAAUAUAACGUGACCAGAACUACAAAGUGAAGAGACGAAAUUCCGGUUGAGAAAAAAGAACAAGAUGGCGCGUCGAUUGAAAAAUCAAGAUGGCGGAUCAAGAUUUUGAAGACGUUUAUUUAAGAUGAUGGAACUAAAUAGAAAAUAACGACUUUUUAUGAGAAUUGUAUAAUAAAACAAGUCAAUUUGCGUGUUUACUUUAUUAUCCUCACACCUUAGUCCUUAUCUUAUAAAUAAUAGUUUAUGUAAGGACAGAAAAUAUCAGCAAAGUUAGCAGUAACGUCUAGCUACUAAUAAAUCUAAUCACAAGAAUCUAUUAUUAAAAUAAGCACGAUUCGACUUUUUUUUUAUCUUUAUUUAAGGAGCUUGGUCGUUAUUUGAAACUUAAAAUUUGUUUGAUGAACGAGCGUAGUGCAAUUUAUCAUAUAAUAAGGAUUUUUUAAUCCAAAGAUCAGAUAUUUAUUGUUUUAAGACAAACGUAAUUACUAUUAGGCGUGAGAAGAGAAUCCUGCUCACUCGAAAAUAAAGAAAUAAGUUUGUAUAUUUUUGUCCCCAAUUCUAUUUUCAAAUUGCUGGCUCACUAUUACACAGUCCUAUGCAAUUUUUUAUGUAUGUUAAACAAUGAGAUUUGGACUUUUCAUGUUAGUAAAAUUUUGAAAAGCCAUAAUUCAUGAUUCUUCCUUCAUUUGUCAUUUUAUUUUACUUUCGGGGUUAUUGGAUGUUUUCCUAAGAAGAGUAAAAGAUGUAGUCAUGUGAUAUAUCUAUUUCGUGCAAGAUAUAUAAAUUAGAACCUUGUAAUAGUAAGCGAGCGAAAUGUAAUGACAUUUGCCGCCAUUUUGCAUGAAAUGCAAAACAAAUUGUAUGUAAAGAAACUUUUGCAACAAAAGAACGAAUCAGUGGAAAGCAUUUAAUCUGCUGUUAGGAAAGAGUCUUCCUUGCAAUCUGGUCACGCGACGCUAGUAUCCAUCUACGUUAGAUAUGACCGACUGUAUAUAGAGCUAUUUAUUUAAUAAAAAUAGAAAAUACACCUCUGUGUCUAAUGUAGCGUGAACAGGUAUAAACUACGAGAUCUUGAUUAAAUUCUUAGGUUAGGGAGCAGUUUUUCUAACAGAAUUUCUGUAGGAUUCCUCAGAGUUUUGACGUCUGAUACUUAGUUAGUCUUAAAACUAAGACAUAUUUUCUACUAUAUGUAAGAGCAAAUGUGCUAUAUCUCAUCAUCAUAAUCAUCAUCGGCCCUGUAUAAAAUACUGUCCCACUGUUGGGCACGGGCCUUCUCUACUACUGAGAUGGCUUAGGCCUUAGUCCACCACGUUGGCCUAGUGCGAAUUGGAAGACUUCACACACCUUCGAAAUUUCUAUAAACUAUACCAACCAAUCUUAUAUUCCAAUUAAGAUAAUGAUAAAGAAUAUGAAGAGACUUCUUUUUAAAUUAUAUUGAGAAGACUAAAGAAAACCUUAAUAUUGAAAUUACUAUAAUGGGAUAAGUAUUAAUCCGGUUUUGUAGUUAUUUAAGCGGAAACAUUAAAUGCAAAUGACUCCCUGGUGUAAGCGGAAAUCAUCCUUAAUGACUUGUAUAUGGCGUAUGGUAAUAAACGCAGUACAUGCUGCUUGAGUAUACAUAAACAACUUACUCUUAAGUAUUUUUAAAUAGUAUUAAUUUUAUAAUGAUUAAAUAUAAUUAUACUAAAGUAGCGAGUGGAACGAACUGACAAUGGUUUAGUAUCUCAGGUUCUAUUCCAGAGAACACAACUCUAACUUUUCGAGGUUAGGUGUCUUUAUCAUUAUAUAUUUAUAAAGUACAUAUAGAACCUGCAUGCAUUAAGCACAUAUUCGUAUCAUGAUAAGGGACGAUCCUAUCGCCAUAUCGAGCACAAAUUCCUCACUCCGAACUGAUACUGUGAUGAAAAACUUAAUAUCACUGCCUGACUCGAGAUUCAAACCUAACACCUUAGAACAAAUACUAUGUAAUAGCAUAUAUUUUCGCGACUAUUAUAGGAACAUGACGCUGAGCUCUUAUUCGUCUUCUAAUAAAAGGUAAGAUUAUCGCCAUAUCGAACAUAUAUUCUGACAACUGAGGUGUAUAACACGAAUAGAAAUAUACACGAGAAGUUAUUUCGGUACAAAACAAUUUAUAAAAUGAUGCUUUCGAUUUUGAGUGAUAGAAAUUAUAAUCAAAUUUAUCAUACAAGUGAAAUCUAACCAGAGGAAAGAAAGUGUACAAACUAUUAUAUUUUACUAGCUUUUUCCAGCAGCUUCGCCUGUGUGUUAAAGGUUUUCUGGGAUAAAAAAUAGCCUAUAGCACUUAGGAUCCUAUUAGUGAAAUUGAUUUAGUUGUUCCUGAGAUUAGUGCGUUCCAACAAACAAACUCAUCAGCUUCAUAUAUUAGUAUAUAGCAACACAAUUUCAACCGACCGGACACUCUCACAGUUUCUAACAUAAUUAUCGAAAGUGUCGAUAAAAUACACGCAAUUUUUUAUUGAUUUCUAUAUUAAACUAUUAUAGAUAAUUCAAGUUCUAUUUUACCUCUGCAAAUUGUAUUUUCCAAUAGGAGUGGUAAACAAUGCUUGCAAAACAACGCUUUUGACAUUACUACCUAGCCGCUCGUUAUUUACUUAUUACGGAGAGUAACAAAAAGUUUUAUAUUCAAAUUAUAUGUCUAAGAUGGUAACAACAAAAGGAAAAUUAGCGGGAUCAAUCUAUUUUAGGGUAAAAUCUAUACUAAUAUUAUAAAGACGAAGAGUUUUGGAGUUUGUAGACUAAUCUCUGGAACCACUGAACUGAUUUUGAAAAUUCUUUUUCUUAUAGGAAGCUGCAUUACUUUUGAGUGCUUUUGAAAAGCUUUGUCACGCGGACAGAGCCGCAGGCAAAAACUAGUAAAAUAUAAAAUUAAAUAACAUGUAAAUGAUAAAUAUGUAAAUGAUGUGAAGAUUAAUUGUUUAUCUUAAUGUACAACGAGCCUUAGCAAUGUCGGAUAAUCCUUAAGAUUUAUUUAUAGAUGCUAUUUGAUCAUUAUCUUUCUCAUAAAAGGCAGGCAAAUAUAUAAAUUAUUGUAAUUCAAGAAGUAUCUUUCCACGUUUGUUGGCUAUAUAUUACAUACUUAUUUUAAAUAAAUGGCUAACUUAUGUGCAAGAUUUUUUUCACAAUUCAAUGCUAGGGUACUCAUGGACUAUUAUAGAACAGUAGGACUUGGGAUCAAAUCCCAGUCUAAGUAACACUUUGCGUAGCUUUUUAUAACAAUUUGUUUGGAUUAAAAAUAAAAAAUUCUUAAAUUAAAUUGGGAUUUCUAAAGAUCUCCUCUAGCGAUAGGGCAGUCCUUUGUACACCAUAGAUGUAAGAAAAUGUAUUAAUCUUGUUUGUUGCAUGUAAUAAUAGUUAAAAUAAAGAGUAUUGUAUUGCUUUGUAUUGUAUUGCUUUAAAACAUAGUUGACAAAAUGUAGCAUGAUAAAUCUAUUUAAACAUCAAAGUUAUAGACUCCUCAAUAAUUAAGAAAUCCAAUGAUGCAAACUUUACGGUCGAUUUUCCACAAUUUUUAUAUCAGCAAGUGGAUAGACGCUAAUUUUGUGUAAACUAGGUUUAGGCUAAGGUAAAUUUUGUGAAGUGAAGGGCGCUGCGCCGACGCAGUCCAGUUUGGCGUACGAUCAUUAUGUUGGAUUAAGCAAUCCGCGCAAAAACUGAUUUGAAUGAUUAAUUUAACAUAUAUGGCAUCUAGCCUAGUAGAUAUGUAAUGAAGACUUUAACCGCAAAUUAUAGUUUAUAACCUCUUGAACUAGCUGCAUACAUUUAAUUGAGGCUAUUUAUUUGCCUUAUGAUUAACACCUCCCCAUAAACAUUAACAAUACAACUUUAAAUUAAAUGUAAUUCAUUACGUUCGUAGUGUCUGUCCUAAUGACCUUCAGACGAAAGAUAGUCUUUGCUUAUUGCUUAGCAACAAAAACAGAUAGAAGUAGUGGCUUCUAUUAAAAAGAAUUCUUCCAUGUAAGGACCUUCCACGACGUUAAAACUUUAUAAAUUAAGUAAAAAUACUUUUUUACGAAUACAAGCACUAAUUCAACAUUAACUAAAAAAAUAGGCAAUAAAUUAUUAUGUUUUAAGUACUAGUGGUAGUUGAUUUGACACUUGAUAAUAAUAUUUUGUCUAUUGUUUCUGCAAUAAAUUGGAUUUGUAAAACUUCUUUUUAUAUAAAUAAAUAUUUCUUAAACGGA